rnacentral:rRNA from 1 species
UACGUAGGUGGCAAGCGUUGUCCGGAUUUACUGGGCGUAAAGAGCGCGCAGGCGGUCGUUCAAGUCGCGUGUGAAAGCCCCCGGCUCAACUGGGGAGGGUCACGCGAUACUGAUCGACUCGAAGGCAGGAGAGGGUAGUGGAAUUCCCGGUGUAGUGGUGAAAUGCGUAGAUAUCGGGAGGAACACCAGUGGCGAAGGCGACUACCUGGACACGUAUUGACGCUGAGGUGCGAAAGCGUGGGGAGCAAACAGG